rnacentral:rRNA from 1 species
GACGAACGCUGGCGGCGUGCCUAAUACAUGCAAGUCGAACGCACUCUCGUUUAGAUUGAAGGAGCUUGCUCCUGAUUGAUAAACAUUUGAGUGAGCGGCGGACGGGUGAGUAACACGUGGGUAACCUGCCCUAAAGUGGGGGAUAACAUUUGGAAACAGAUGCCAAUACCGCAUAAAACCUAACACCGCAUGGUGUAGGGUUGAAAGAUGGUUUCGGCUAUCACUUUAGGAUGGACCCGCGGUGCAUUAGUUAGUUGGUGAGGUAAAGGCUCACCAAGACCGUGAUGCAUAGCCGACCUGAGAGGGUAAUCGGCCACACUGGGACUGAGACACGGCCCAGACUCCUACGGGAGGCAGCAGUAGGGAAUCUUCCACAAUGGACGAAAGUCUGAUGGAGCAACGCCGCGUGAGUGAAGAAGGUUUUCGGAUCGUAAAACUCUGUUGUUGGAGAAGAAUGUAUCUGAUAGUAACUGAUCAGGUAGUGACGGUAUCCAACCAGAAA